rnacentral:rRNA from 1 species
UACGAGUAUGAGAGUUUGAUCCUAGUGCUCAGAUUGAACGCUGGCGGCAUGCCUUACACAUGCAAGUCGAAUGGCAGCAUGAUCUAGCUUGCUAGAUUGAUGGCGAGUGGCGAACGGGUGAGUAAUACAUCGGAACGUGCCCUGUAGUGGGGGAUAACUAGUCGAAAGAUUAGCUAAUACCGCAUACGACCUGAGGGUGAAAGUGGGGGACCGCAAGGCCUCAUGCUAUAGGAGCGGCCGAUGUCUGAUUAGCUAGUUGGUGAGGUAAAGGCUCACCAAGGCGACGAUCAGUAGCUGGUCUGAGAGGACGAUCAGCCACACUGGGACUGAGACACGGCCCAGACUCCUACGGGAGGCAGCAGUGGGGAAUUUUGGACAAUGGGCGAAAGCCUGAUCCAGCAAUGCCGCGUGUGUGAAGAAGGCCUUCGGGUUGUAAAGCACAUUUGUCCGGAAAGAAAUGGCUCUGGUUAAUACCUGGGGUCGAUGACGGUACCGGAAGAAUAAGGACCGGCUAACUACGUGCCAGCAGCCGCGGUAAU